UACGGAGGGGGCUAGCGUUGUUCGGAAUUACUGGGCGUAAAGCGCACGUAGGCGGAUUGGUAAGUCAGAGGUGAAAUCCCAGGGCUCAACCUUGGAACUGCCUUUGAAACUCCCAGUCUUGAGGUCGAGAGAGGUGAGUGGAAUUCCGAGUGUAGAGGUGAAAUUCGUAGAUAUUCGGAGGAACACCAGUGGCGAAGGCGGCUCACUGGCUCGAUACUGACGCUGAGGUGCGAAAGCGUGGGGAGCAAACAGG
rnacentral:rRNA from 1 species